rnacentral:lncRNA from 1 species
AGAGAACCUGUUACCAUGUUUCAGAGUGUCUUGGUGAACAAGCAGUUAAGGCAGCAGCUGUGGUAUUUGCAUGCUGUUUCCAAAAAAGGCUGGCACAUGGAUUCGGAGGAGCUCUCAUUCUUGCAGUGUUUAGACAGACUGGGCCGUUCUGGGCAGUUCAGUUUGUGCAGUGUCCUGUGAGCAGCAAGAACCUCUCAAAGAAAGAAAACACAACCUCACAUGUGUCAUUUGGACUACAUUGCAAUGGCAGUCACAGUCAAAAUGCUCCGUCUCCUGAUUCUGGUGGUGGUGGCUGAAUCAAGUGUGUCACCCUCCGGGGCUGGAUACUCUUGCCGUUGCUUGCAGAAAGCCCCCAGUUUACCCUGGGUGAGGAUAAGAGACUUCAACAUUGCUGAGGGACAUGAUUUAUGCGGAACUGAGAUUAUAGUUCGAAUGGCAUCUGGAAAAAAUGUUUGUAUUGAUCCUGAUCAAACCUUGGGUAGACGCUUACAAAACUGCUGGAAAAGGUAUGUAGUACUAGUUUUGCUCUUUACUUUGUUACUUUGAAGCAGUAAGGCUAUAUAAUUUGUCACGUAUAAACAUGGAAAACUCUGUACUGUCAAGUUAGAUAUUAAAUCGCAUCAAUAUGAAAAUAUUUUCUGUAAAAUCAAGCACUCAGGUGGAGUGCUAUCUAGUGUUAUUUUGUUAUCUAUUCAUCUCCUUGUUUUGUUUUGUUUUGUUUUCUCCCAGGAUUAACCGUAAGCAGAAACUAAAACCCAGGUGCCUUUAUAAACCCACAAGAAAAGAAGUUUUAAAUGGUGAAGAUGAUAGAGGGAAGGGAGGGAGAAAAAAAAAACACGGGAAAAAAACGGGAAUUAACAUAUGACAACUUGUAGCACCCAGUUAGGGAAAACUACAGCAUCUUUGCUGAAUAUGCUUUCUUUUAAACCAUGAUUAAUCUUUUUUAAAUUCAGAUAGAUACCUGUUUUGCUAUUUCUUUACAGUUUAUAUGAAAUACAGGACAGUUUCAGUAUACAGUUUCAAAAUAUAUCCAGAGCAAUAUUACUAUUACAAUAUUGUUUUUAUCCUAAAUAAAUGUACUGUGAAAAACA